CCUACGGGUGGCAGCAGUGAGGAAUAUUGGUCAAUGGACGAGAGUCUGAACCAGCCAAGUCGCGUGAAGGAUGACUGCCCUAUGGGUUGUAAACUUCUUUUAUAUGGGAAUAAACUCUUCCACGUGUGUGCUUUUGUAUGUACCCUAUGAAUAAGGAUCGGCUAACUCCGUGCCAGCAGCCGCGGUAAUACGGAGGAUUCGGGCGUUAUCCGGAUUUUGUGGGUUUAAAGGGAUCGUUGGGGGAUUGUUAAGUCAGUUGUGAAAGUUUGCGGCUCAACCGUAGAAUUGCAGUUGAAACUGGCAGUCUUGAGUACAGUAGAGGUGGGCGGAAUUCGUGGUGUAGCGGUGAAAUGCUUAGAUAUCACGAAGAACUCCGAUUGCGAAGGCAGCUUACUGGACUGCAACUGACACUGAGGCUCGAAAGUGUGGGUAUCAAACAGGAUUAGAUACCCGUGUAGUC
rnacentral:rRNA from 1 species